rnacentral:rRNA from 1 species
CAGCAGCCGCGGUAAUACGGGGGGAGCAAGCGUUGUUCGGAUUUACUGGGCGUAAAGGGCGCGUAGGCGGCGUGACAAGUCACUUGUGAAAUCUCCGGGCUUAACUCGGAACGGUCAAGUGAUACUGUCGUGCUAGAGUACAGAAGGGGCAACUGGAAUUCUCGGUGUAGCGGUGAAAUGCGUAGAUAUCGAGAGGAACACCUGCGGCGAAGGCGGGUUGCUGGGCUGAUACUGACGCUAGGCGCGAAAGCCAGGGGAGCGAACGGGAUUAGAUACCCCGGUAGUCCUGGCCUUAAACGAUGAAUGCUUGGUGUCUCGGGUUAUAAAGUCCCGGGGUGCCGUCGCUAACGCUUUUAGCAUUCCGCCUGGGGAGUACGGUCGCAAGACUGAAACUCAAAGGAAUUGACGG